rnacentral:piRNA from 1 species
UCAGGCUGAUACAUAAAAUGCUCAGGAC